AGAGUUUGAUCCUGGCUCAGAACGAACGCUUGCGGCGUGGAUUAGGCAUGCAAGUCGAGCGAGAUUAUUUAGACGGAAGCUUCGGUGGAAGACUAAAUAUGAAAGCGGCGAACUGGUGAGGACAACUUGAGUAAUCUGCCCUAAAGUUUGGAAUAGCCUCGGGAAACUGGGAUUAAUGCCAAAUGUGGUCGUUCCGCUCAUGCGGAAUUGUCUAAAGGCUGGGACUCCUUCGGGAGCCAGUCGCUUUAGGAUGGGCUCAAGGCCUAUCAGCUUGUUGGUAAGGUAACGGCUUACCAAGGCUAAGACGGGUAGCUGGUCUGAGAGGAUGGUCAGCCACACUGGGACUGAGAACUGCCCAGACUCCUACGGGAGGCUGCAGUCGAGAAUCAUUCACAAUGCACGAAAGUGCGAUGAUGCGACGCCGCGUGGAGGAUGAAGGCUUUCGGGUCGUAAACUCCUGUCAGAAGGGAAUAAAUGCAUGAUUGUUAAUAGCUUUCAUGUUUGAAGGUACCUUCAGAGGAAGCCACGGCUAACUUCGUGCCAGCAGCCGCGGUAAUACGAAGGUGGCGAGCGUUGUUCGGAUUUACUGGGCGUAAAGGGAGCGUAGGCGGCAUUGUAUGUCGGAUGUGAAAGCCCACGGCUCAACCGUGGAAAUGCAUUCGAAACUGCAGUGCUAGAGUAUCGGAGAGGUAAGCGGAAUUCUUGGUGUAGCGGUGAAAUGCGUAGAUAUCAAGAGGAACACCAGCGGCGAAGGCGGCUUACUGGACGAAUACUGACGCUGAGGCUCGAAAGCCGGGGGAGCGAAGAGGAUUAGAUACCCUCGUAGUCCCGGCCGUAAACGUUGUACACUUGGUGUGGGAGGAUUUAUCCCCUUCUGUGCCGUAGCUAACGUGUUAAGUGUACCGCCUGGGGAGUACGGUCGCAAGAUUAAAACUCAAAGGAAUUGACGGGGGCCCGCACAAGCGGUGGAGCAUGUGGCUUAAUUCGAUGCAACGCGAAGAACCUUACCUGGGCUUGACAUGCCCGUCGUACCCUCCCGAAAAGGAGGGGUCAGCUAGGCUGGACGGUGCACAGGUGCUGCAUGGCUGUCGUCAGCUCGUGCCGUGAGGUGUUGGGUUAAGUCCCGCAACGAGCGCAACCCUUGUCUUUAGUUGCCAUCAGGGAGAGAUCUGCUGGGCACUCUAGAGAGACUGCCGGUGAUAAGCCGGAGGAAGGUGAGGAUGACGUCGAGUCAGUAUGGCCCUUAUGCCCAGGGCUGCACACGUGCUACAAUGGAUGGUAUAAUGGGUUGCCAAACCGCGAGGUGGAGCUAAUCCCCAAAACCAUCCCCAGUUCGGAUUGGAGUCUGCAACUCGACUCCAUGAAGCCGGAAUCGCUAGUAACGGCGUAUCAGCUACGACGCCGUGAAUACGUUCCCGGGCCUUGUACACACCGCCCGUCACAUCACGGAAGUUGACUGCACCCGAAGUCGUUGCUCCAACCCGCAAGGGAGGAAGACGCCGAAGGUGUGGUUAGUAACUGGGAUGAAGUCGUAACAAGGUA
rnacentral:rRNA from 1 species